rnacentral:misc_RNA from 1 species
CGCACAUUGCGCCCUUUGGUAUUCCUUAGGGCAUGCCUGUUCGAGCGUCAUUUAAACCCUCAAGCUCAGCUUGGUGUUGGGUGACUGUCCGCUUGCGGACUCGCCUCAAAAUGAUUGGCGGCCGGUACUUUUGGCUUCGAGCGCAGCAGAAACGCGAACUCGAGGCCUGUGUGCUGGCUCCCAGAAGCUAUCUUCACAAUUUUGACCUCGGAUCAGGUAGGGAUACCCGCUGAACUUAA